UCUGGUUGCAGCCGGGGCGGGUUUUUAAAUGAACCCGCAUAGCCGCCCCGCAAAAUUGCAGUUUGCGACCGAUGCGAUCCAGCUGCUAUCUGUUUGCGGAUCUAUGUUAACUCGCCAGCCAAACCCGCGGACGAGAGUGGAGGUCCGCAAGGACCCGCAAGAACCCGCAGCCUCAUCUCACGUCUCUCUCACUCCCAAAUCCUUCGCGGCGCCACCGCCGCCUCCGUGGCUCAAGUGGCUCAGGCCCGCCCGCCGACGCCGUGCUACUCUCCCUCUCCUCCUUGGCGCUCCUCGAAGGCAUCGAUGGUGCAGUCGAUGGCCUCGCCAUCUGCAUCCGAGAAGGAGGGAACCUAUCCCAGCAGGACCAGUAGCCCUUCCGCCCUCGACUCCACCCUUGCCGAGGCCGGCGGCGCCGAGGACUGCCAUGAAGCGAGCACCAGAUGAACAACUAGCGCAAGCAAUUAUCUUAAUCCCUGGAUCUAGUGGCAAGGCGCAGAGGAGCUGCAUCUGCCAAAAGCAGUAGCAAAAGGGUGGCCCAUGCUCUCAGGAUCUUCGUUCCGUGUUUGAUUUCCCGUUUAAUUUUCCUUGCAACAAUAUCUUUUUCUGUUGAUUGAAAUCUCCGCUGAUGAAAACUCGAUAUGAACAUUCCUAUUGUUCUGACAAAUUAGUUAGUUGGAUCAUAUAGCAUAGUUGACUGCAUACUGAAUAUAACAGAUUAGUUAGUUAGAUGAACUUAAACUAUAAUUCAGCACAUGUUUUGAUUCUGAAUAUAACAAUGCAGUUCUUAUAAAAUUUUUCCUUUUCUUUUUAACUUACCAGAUUCGAAGAAAGAAUGAAGGAAAUUGGAGGAUGAAGAUUCGUAGUUUUACUUUGUUGUUAUUGUUAUUCUCGAAAGAUUUCAGAUCAUAAGCUUCUAUCAAGAUUGCCGCAGUGCCAAGAUUUGAGAUUUGAUUACUCUUCUGAAAACCUAUGGAAUAUCCGAGUUGAAGUGCUGUAGAGCAUGUUGAUACACUGAAAAUAGUGUUCUGUCAGUUAAUGUAAUCUGUAUAAAUUUUGAACCACAUGUCAAGCUAGAACAAAAGACAGCAAUUGCA